rnacentral:rRNA from 1 species
AGCUCCAAUAGCGUAUACUAAAUUUGUUGCAGUUAAAAAGCUCGUAGUUGGAUUUCUGGCUGGUGUGAAUGGACCGCCCCAUGGGUUGGUGCAUACGCGCUGUCCAUCCUGGGAAAUCGCGCUUUGGGUCUUUACUGAUUUAAGGUUGCAAUUCCCUCGUUUACUUUGAGAAAAUUAGAGUGUUCAAAGCAGGCUUACGCUUGAAUACAUUAGCAUGGAAUAAUACUAUAGGACUCAUGUCCUAUUUUGUUGGUUUCUAGGACAGGAGUAAUGAUUGAUAGGGACGGUUGGGGGCAUCAGUAUUUCAAAGCGAGAGGUGAAAUUCUUGGACCUUUGGAAGACUAACAACUGCGAAAGCAUUUGCCUAGGACGUUCUCU